rnacentral:rRNA from 1 species
GAGGGCCUACGGGGCGCAGCAGUGGGGGAUAUUGCACAAUGGGGGAAACCCUGAUGCAGCGACGCCGCGUGGGUGAAGAAGCGCCUCGGCGCGUAAAGCCCUGUCAGCAGGGAAGAAAAUGACGGCACCUGACUAAGAAGCCCCGGCUAACUACGUGCCAGCAGCCGCGGUAAUACGUAGGGGGCAAGCGUUAUCCGGAUUUACUGGGUGUAAAGGGAGCGUAGACGGCAUGGCAAGUCUGAUGUGAAAACCCGGGGCUCAACCCCGGGACUGCAUUGGAAACUGUCAGGCUAGAGUGUCGGAGG